rnacentral:lncRNA from 1 species
GGUGAAGAGAGACUGAGCAUCUGUAUGCAGACUUACUGCCCUCAAACUCCCAGAAACAUGGGGUGGCAUUUCCUCAAUGAAAUGCUAGAGUGCUAUUGAGGGAGCACUGUGGAGGCGUACCUGAUUUUUCCCUUUAUCCAGUUUAUCCUAACAUCAUAUCCCCACCUCUUAUUCUCUCUGAGCUCAGCCCGUCUUCAGUGAUCUCCUCUCUGCCUUUGAAGAGGAUAAGGAAUUGCACAACUUCGAGCUCCGGGGCAAGAACUAUAGCGUGGAUUUGAAGAGGUUUGUGCAACAUAGCAUGGAACGGGGAUACGUUCGCCACAUCCAGCGCCGGCCUUCCUACCGAUCACUCCUCAGUAUGAUGCCAUACCUGCAGAUGAUCUCAAGUAAAGCCAGUAUACCCUCUUGUCCUACUCAUGACAUCCCUGGGGAAGAUCCCACGGAUGGUUACUAUGGUCCAUACCCUGCUGCUUGGAUUCCACAGCCAACUGUUGAUCAGGCUUUCCUGCAAAUGGAGGUGACGCCAUCAGAAGCUGCAUACCGCUCUACUUGUGUUCUCUUCCACCAGUCUCUUCCAGAGGAUGAGGUCCUGGUGCUGGCAAUUUACAGGAUCCGGAACGAAGAUCUCUGGCAAAGAUAUACUAAGUAAAAAGAGAAGUGGAUGUAGUUAGAGACAACAGCCUUGGAGUGUGAAUUGCAGUGCUUGUGCCCAGGGUUAAGCAUCCCACCAUCCUCAGAGGUUGGGAAUAUGAAUGUGGAGCUAGAGGGUGUGGCUCCUACACACAGAGGCAGGGACUGUGAAUGUCGAUGCCAUCAAAGGAUAGGACUGUGAAUCCUAGUGCUAGUGCCACAGAACCCAUUGUGUUAGAGUGUCCCAGCUUCCUAGAUACUUAUGUGGUCCCCCUCACCACAGUAUUUGAGCAUAUCACUAUUUUUAAAUGUAUUUAUCCUCACAACAUCCCUGUGAGGCAGUCAAGUGCUGUUAUUCACAUUUUAUAAAUGAGGAACUGAGACCCUGAUCCACAAAGAUAUUUAGUUUCUUAGCUUCCACUGAUUUCAGUGGAAGGUAGGGGCCUAAUUACCUUUGUGGAUCUUGGCCUAAAUGAUUUCUCCAACAUCAUACAGGAAGUACGUGGCAGAGCAAGUCCACAGUCUCAGACUAGCACCCUAAGCACUGGAUUAUCUUUCUUUCCAUGUGAACAGGAAUACUGUUAUCAGUCUUCUAGGCUUUGGUUCCCGCUACACUCGGAGACUGAGAGCAAAAAUCUUACUACUGUUGCUUUGAACUGUGGGUCCCAGUGCAUGAAAGCAAACAUAUUUGUUCAUUAACAGGCACUUUCUUGUGCAUUAAUUGGUUGCUUCAUCUACACCAGAGUGUGCUUCUCUCUGCACUGCGUGAAUCCUAGUGCCCUGCUGUAGGUACAAAUAGUGCAUAUUGAUUUGAUGAGUGAACAGUUGUGCAUUACUGGAUGGUGCACUCAUCUAUGAGUGCACAUUGUUGCAUGUCUCCAUCCACGAUGGCUUAAUUAGUGUGUUAAGGCAUGGAUUUUGUGGGUAGAUGUUUAUUUGAGUGCUUUGAGUUCUCAGUUGGAG